rnacentral:rRNA from 1 species
CCUACGGGAGGCUGCAGUGGGGAAUAUUGGACAAUGGGCGAAAGCCUGAUCCAGCCAUGCCGCGUGUGUGAAGAAGGCCUUCGGGUUGUAAAGCACUUUCAGUGGGGAAGAAAGCCUUGGGGCUAAUACCCUCGAGGAAGGACAUCACCCACAGAAGAAGCACCGGCUAACUCCGUGCCAGCAGCCGCGGUAAUACGGAGGGUGCGAGCGUUAAUCGGAAUUACUGGGCGUAAAGCGCGCGUAGGCGGUCUGAUAAGCCGGUUGUGAAAGCCCCGGGCUCAACCUGGGAACGGCAUCCGGAACUGUCAGGCUAGAGUGCAGGAGAGGAAGGUAGAACUCCCGGUGUAGCGGUGAAAUGCGUAGAGAUCGGGAGGAAUACCAGUGGCGAAGGCGGCCUUCUGGACUGACACUGACGCUGAGGUGCGAAAGCGUGGGUAGCAAACAGGAUUAGAUACCCGGGUAGUC